GUCGGUAAAACUCGUGCCAGCCACCGCGGUUAUACGAGUAACUCACAUUAACACACCCCGGCGUAAAGAGUGAUUAAAGAAUGACCUCUAACCACUAAAGUUUAGACCUCAUAAAACUGUUAUACGUGUUCAUGAAUGGAAUAAACAACAACGAAAGUGACUUUACAAAUUAAGGAACCUUGAUGUCACGACAGUUGGGACCCAAACUGGGAUUAG
rnacentral:rRNA from 1 species